CUCAAGACUGCUUCUGACUAGGAGUAAACAAUCCUUAAUGUGGAUUAGACGUGUGAUGGGAUUUAAAGAGGCACUCUAAGAGGAUAUGUCCCAACCGAAGAAAGAUAGCCACGUGAAGACUGAGACACACAGGGAGCAUACCAUGGCACUACAAAGGCAGAGAUUGGAGUUGUGCAGCUACAAGUCAAGGAACACCAAGUUUGCCAGCAAACUUCCUGUAGCUAGGGGGAUAAAAAGGCAAUUUACUUCCUCAGUAAUAUUGUUUCGAAGGACCACACUAAGGGCACCCCACAG